UUACGGCCCUAUCACGUUGAAACCCCAGUUCCCGUACGAUCAACGAAGUGAAGCAACGCUGAGCCUGGUUAGCAUCUAGAUGGGUGACCAUUUAGGUAUACCGGGUGAUGUAA